CUCAGAACGGAUCUGAUACCUCAUCUCUGAAGAGCUCACAAGUAUUUUUAGAUCUUCUCAACAAUUCUUGACAGACAUCAUGGGUUUCACUGUACCACUGAGGAUCCUCAUGGUCUGCCUGGUUCAUUUUUGUGCAGCAGUAGAUGGGGAAGUUGACCCAAUAACCCUCAUGAAUAUUGUAAAUAACUUGGAGAAUCAGUUGCGUGAUCAAGGGCAAUACGCUAUAGCCUUCAGUGCUGAGAAUGAGGAAUGCAAUAAAGGUUCUAAAUAUACAGGUCCUGACUUAAAAGGAGUGAAAGAUUCAUUUAAAAAAAAUGAGGUUUAUGUCCACGAAAAUCUCAUUGCUGCAAAGCCAAAAACUGAACCUAAAUACACAGAACAUUCUGAGUUUCGCCUGCAGAAUUAUCUGAAAAACCUCUUGGGAAAAGAUAAAUGUGUGAUUUAUUUUACUGUUAAUUCACCUUGUAUGAAAAAAUGCUUAGAAAAGGGGGGGAGGUUUAACAUUGAAAACAGUAUUCAAUUGUUGCAAAAAGAAAAAAAUGCAGCCUUUGUUUUCAAAAAGAUUUGGGACGAGGAUGAGAAGACAAAGGUGAUAGAGAGACUGAAGGAAAUAGCAUCUAAUUUGCCAUAUUAUCAUUGUAACACUAAGUGUGUUAAACUGUAGGAUGAGGAGUAAAACAACUUCAGAUGAACACUGACAGACAUAAGCCUUGACAUGAGAAUGACUUUCUUUUUCUUUUCUUAGUUUAAUUUCUAGAACAUUCUUGUUAGAUUUUAGAUUUUAAAAGGCUAAAUCAUUUCUGCAAAUGUAGUCUAAUUAAUACAUCAAUUGUGAAAUGUUGUAUUCUUAGAUGACAAUUUUGUUAGUAAACAAAUAAUAGCAUGACUGUACACUGCAUGACCAAAUAAAAAUAUCUU